rnacentral:tRNA from 1 species
AGGGAUAUAGCUCAGUGGUAGAGCACUUGCCUAGCAAGCACGAGAUCCUGGGUUCAAUCCUUAGUAUCUUAA